AGCAGCCGCGGUAAUUCCAGCUCCAAUAGCGUAUAUUAAAGUUGUUGCAGUUAAAAAGCUCGUAGUUGAAUUUCGGGAUCAAUACGUCGGUCGUGCCUCCGGUACGUACUGGUGUUGUUGAUUUCUCCCUUCUGAUGAACCACGAUGUCAUUAAUUUGGUGUUGUGGGGAGUCAGGACUGUUACUUUGAAAAAUUAGAGUGUUUAAAGCAGGCAAACGCUUGAAUACAUUAGCAUGGAAUAAUGAAAUAGGACGUUCGAACCUAUUUUGUUGGUUUCUAGGAUCAACGUAAUGAUUAAUAGGGAUAGUUGGGGGCAUUAGUAUUCAAUUGUCAGAGGUGAAAUUCUUGGAUUUAUUGAAGACUAACUACUGCGAAAGCAUUUGCCAAGGAUGUUUUCAUUAAUCAAGAACGAAAGUUAGGGGAUCGAAGACGAUCAGAUACCGUCGUAGUCUUAACCAUAAACUAUG
rnacentral:rRNA from 1 species